CUUUGUUCUAAUUACUGAUAUUUCAAUAUCAUUAAUUUUUUUAAUCAUAAUUUUAGUAAUAUUCUCAAAUUCCUCUAAAUCAAAAAAAGGUUCUAAUUGACUCUGAAUUUUCUUAAUUUUAUCCUCCAAUUCAUGUAGGUUCAAAUUCCUACGAUCUAUAAUGAUUCUCAUCAUAUGGGAGGAAAAGGAAUCAAGGGCCCCAUCCCAAAUUCCCAUAAAAUCUGCGUUUUCUUGAUCAAAAGUGGGUAAUUUAUCAAAUCUUAAACCCCUUGGGGUAAUCUGGAGAGCAAUAUAUUUUUCUAAAGUAAAAAUCUCCCAUUUGAUCUUCAUUUCUUUAAUUAGAAGUUUUUCCAACUCUUUACAUAUUGUAUCUAGAUCAUUGUCUAUGAGGAUACUUUCAUUAAUUUUACCCUCAUUUUCCAU